CAAUAGCGUAUAUUAAAGUUGUUGCAGUUAAAAAGCUCGUAGUUGGAUUUCUGGCGGGAGUCCGGGUCGGCCUUAACGGGUUGUACUGUUGUGACGUCUCGCCGUUUCGAGGGGAAUGGGCUCGCUAUUAGGUUAGUGUGCUCGGGAACCUCGUCGUUUACUGUGAAAAAAUUAGAGUGUUCAAAGCAGGCCUUUGCUGUGAAUACAUUAGCAUGGAAUAAUAAGAUAGGACUGUAGUGCUAUUUUGUUGGUUUGCGUACUAUGGUAAUGAUUAAUAGGGAUAGUUGGGGGUAUUCAUAUUCAAUUGUCAGAGGUGAAAUUCUUGGAUUUAUGGAAGAUGAACUACUGCGAAAGCAUUUACCAAGGAUGUUUUCAUUA
rnacentral:rRNA from 1 species